UCUAAAUGACAAUAAUAAAAUUAACUUCUUCAAAGCAGACAACUUUAUCAUUAGAUUGCUUCCUAGUUUAGACAUCAGCGAAUGUUAGUUAGAUUGCUUCUUAGUUUAGACAUCAGCGAAUCUUUAUCAUUAGAAUGAGUCCUAGUUUAGACAUCAGCGAUUGCUUCCUAGUUUAGACAUCAGCGAAUGUUAGUUAGAUUGCUUCUUAGUUUAGACAUCAGCGAAUCUUUAUCAUUAGAAUGAGUCCUAGUUUAGACAUCAGCGAAUGUUAGGCAGAAGGUCAACCAAUCCUUCACUGUUUAAAUUUGGUUAUAAUGUUACCACUAUCAAAUGUAGGCGAAGUGUAAAGUCCAGCAAAGUGGCAACAUUGUGGUAAUUAAGACUAGAUCUUUAUUUACAAACAUAUGUGACUUAUGAAAACUGCAAAAUCAUUCAUUGCAAAGUAUACGGAUAAAAUAAUUUUAAAACUAACCAAACUAUAAAAAUGACUGACA